GCCCCGUUGGCAGUACAUACAUGUUGAAGUGAGAACAAAGCCAGCAGUGCACCCACCGGACACCACCAAUGGGAACACACGUACGUAACGACCUUGGAGUUGACCCAUUCUCGUUUAGUUUUUCUCAUACGGUCAGAAUAGGCACUUUUUUUCUUCCUUUUUUCUAUUUCUUUUUUUUGAAGAAUGCACAUUUGGAUAAGCACAAAGAAAGACUAAGCAGCAACCUUAG
rnacentral:lncRNA from 1 species